rnacentral:rRNA from 1 species
GACGAACGCUGGCGGCGUGCCUAAUACAUGCAAGUCGAGCGAACAUUUGAGAGCUUGCUCUCAAAUGUUAGCGGCGGACGGGUGAGUAACACGUGGGUAACCUGCCUGUGAGAUUGGGAUAACUCCGGGAAACCGGAGCUAAUACCGAAUAACAUUUUGAACCGCAUGGUUCGAAAUUGAAAGAUGGUUUCGGCUAUCACUUACAGAUGGACCCGCGGCGCAUUAGCUAGUUGGUGAGGUAAUGGCUCACCAAGGCGACGAUGCGUAGCCGACCUGAGAGGGUGAUCGGCCACACUGGGACUGAGACACGGCCCAGACUCCUACGGGAGGCAGCAGUAGGGAAUCUUCCGCAAUGGACGAAAGUCUGACGGAGCAACGCCGCGUGAACGAUGAAGGCC